rnacentral:misc_RNA from 1 species
GGACUUGAGCAUCUUGAUUUCCCCAUGGAUAAAGUACCUGCCGAUCCUAUUAAACAGGUGGUAUACAUCACAGAGGCCAAUCCUGCUUCUCUAGAUGAUGGAAUGCCAUUUGAGCAACACUCGGGGGCGUCAAGAUUUAAUUUAUUCACAGGAAACCAAACUCUCAAGCAAAGGGAUGAAAGUUUUAAGGUGUAAGGAGCGGGUGCAUCCAUCCACUGUGGUUUUUACAGUGAUAAAGGAGGCUUUAGGAUUUCUGUUGAA